rnacentral:lncRNA from 1 species
AAACAACAUAUAUAAUUGCAUAAGUUAAGACAUACAAUGCUUUAGAAAUAAAAUUUCAUUUCAGAGAAGAAUAAUAAUUCUCAAAUCCUCAAUUACUCUCAUCUUAUGCAAUUACAUUAUAAGGAAUCACACAAAAAUGCGACCACUAAUUCUUACCAGUGCAUUCAAUUUUAUUAAAAAAAAGGAAGAAGAAGAAGAAAAGCAAGCAAAUAAAUAAUGUAACAGAAAAAUUUAAGAACAAACAAAUGAA